AUUGAACGCUGGCGGCAGGCCUAACACAUGCAAGUCGAACGAGUGGCGGACGGGUGAGUAAUGUCUUGGAAAAUGCCUGAUGGAGGGGGAUAACUACUGGAAACGGUAGCUAAUACCGCAUACCAUCGGAUGUGCCCAGAUGGGAUUAGCUAGUAGGUGGGGUAAAGGCUCACCUAGGCGACGAUCCCUACCUGGUCUGAGAGGGUGACCAGCCACACUGGGACUGAGACACGGUCCAGACUCCUACGGGAGGCAGCAGUGGGGAAUAUUGGACAAUGGGCGAAAGCCUGAUUCAGCCAUGCCGCGUGUAUGAAGAAGGCCUUCGGGUUGUAAAAUACUUUCGGCAGGGAGGCGUUAUCCGCAGAAGAAGCACCGGCUAACUCCGUGCCAGCAGCCGCGGUAAUUC
rnacentral:rRNA from 1 species